rnacentral:rRNA from 1 species
UACGUAGGGUCCGAGCGUUGUCCGGAAUUACUGGGCGUAAAGAGCUCGUAGGCGGUUCGGUUAGUCGGGUGUGAAAACUUUGGGCUCAACCCAAAGCGUGCACUCGAUACUGCCGUGACUAGAGUUCGGUAGGGGAGUGGGGAAUUCCUAGUGUAGCGGUGAAAUGCGCAGAUAUUAGGAGGAACACCGGUGGCGAAGGCGCCACUCUGGGCCGAAACUGACGCUGAGGAGCGAAAGCGUGGGUAGCAAACAGG